AGAAGAAUGACAAUGUUAUCUUCCGAAUUUGCUAUCUUUUGUAUCAUCCUUGUUUCCAUGGCUAGCCUUCAUGAAUGUAAUUUCUUCAAAGAUCUUACCGGUCCAUAUUUGAAAGAUCCAUGCUUUUCAACAAGACUUAAACUAUAUUGCUGCCGAAGUACUGUUCCGGAACAAGGGCUAAGGUGCUAUGACACCGAAAGACAAUGUAGGAAUGAUCUUGGCAAUAAUAAUUGUAAUCCUUAUGCAAAGAAGAACUAAGAAAUUUAACGAACAUUUAUACGUACUAAACUACAGGAAAACAAGCCUUUUGCGACUA